UACGUAGGGGGCAAGCGUUGUCCGGAUUUAUUGGGCGUAAAGAGCGUGUAGGCGGCCUGGAAGGUCAGCUGUGAAAACUCGAGGCUCAACCUCGAGACGUCGGUUGAAACCACCUGGCUAGAGUCCGGAAGAGGAGAGUGGAAUUCCCGGUGUAGCGGUGAAAUGCGCAGAUAUCGGGAAGAACACCCGUGGCGAAGGCGGCUCGCUGGGACGGUACUGACGUGAGACGCGAAAGCGUGGGGAGCAAACAGG
rnacentral:rRNA from 1 species